ensembl:piRNA 21ur-1133 ncRNA
UUCUGUGGUUUUCUAUGCACG